rnacentral:rRNA from 1 species
UACAGAGGUCUCGAGCGUUAGGCGGAAUCACUGGGCUUAAAGCGUGUGUAGGUGGAUGCCUAAGUACCUUGUGAAAUCCCACAGCUUAACUGUGGAACUGCUUGGUAUACUGGGUGUCUUGAGUCACUCAGGGGCGAGCGGAACAAAUGGUGGAGCGGUGAAAUGCGUAGAUAUCAGGAGGAACACCAAUAGCGAAGGCAGCUCGCUGGGACGUUACUGACACUAAGGCGCGAAAGCGUGGGGAGCGAACAGG